rnacentral:RNase_P_RNA from 1 species
AAAGUUUGACAGACAAUCGCUGGCUGUGGGUAAGCCACAGCGAGAGGAAAGUCCGGGCUCCAUAAGGCAGGGUGCUGGAUAACGUCCAGUCAACGCGAGUUGAAGGAUAGGGCCACAGAAAUGGACCGCCGAUGGCGCUUCUGUAAGGAAGCGCACAGGCAAGGGUGGAACCGUGGUGUAAGAGACCACGAGGUUCUAUGGUGACAUAGAUCCUGGUAAACCCCACUUGGAGCAAGACCUAGAGGAACGCUAGCCGCUUUCGAGGCGGCAGUCUUAGCCUGAGACGCGUUCGGGUUGGUCGCUUGAGCUGUGCAGCAAUGUAUGGCCUAGAUAGAUGAUUGUCACUUCAAUGGUGGCAGGGGACAGACGCCCGUUAUGACCACUGGAAGUACAGAACCCGGCUUACGGCAAACUUUCCAU